CGGGAAGAAGGCCUUCGGGUUGUAAACCGCUUUUGUUCAGGGAAGGAAAAUCCCUUGAGUUAAUACCUCGGGGGAGUGACGGUACCUGAAGAAUAAGCACCGGCUAACUACGUGC
rnacentral:rRNA from 1 species